rnacentral:rRNA from 1 species
AACUGCUCUUUAACAAUUUAUCAGACAAUCUGUGUGGGCACUCAAAGUGACAUGGAUUCUUAACGUCCUCGGACGAAAAAUGAAUACCAAGUCUCAAGAGUGAACACGUAAUUCAUUACGAAGUUUAAUUCUUUGAGCAUCAAACUUAAAUUGAAGAGUUUGAUCAUGGCUCAGAUUGAACGCUGGCGGCAGGCCUAACACAUGCAAGUCGAGCGGUAGCACAGAGAGCUUGCUCUCGGGUGACGAGCGGCGGACGGGUGAGUAAUGUCUGGGAAACUGCCUGAUGGAGGGGGAUAACUACUGGAAACGGUAGCUAAUACCGCAUAACGUCGCAAGACCAAAGUGGGGGACCUUCGGGCCUCAUGCCAUCAGAUGUGCCCAGAUGGGAUUAGCUAGUAGGUGGGGUAACGGCUCACCUAGGCGACGAUCCCUAGCUGGUCUGAGAGGAUGACCAGCCACACUGGAACUGAGACACGGUCCAGACUCCUACGGGAGGCAGCAGUGGGGAAUAUUGCACAAUGGGCGCAAGCCUGAUGCAGCCAUGCCGCGUGUGUGAAGAAGGCCUUCGGGUUGUAAAGCACUUUCAGCGGGGAGGAAGGCGUUAAGGUUAAUAACCUCAUCGAUUGACGUUACCCGCAGAAGAAGCACCGGCUAACUCCGUGCCAGCAGCCGCGGUAAUACGGAGGGUGCAAGCGUUAAUCGGAAUUACUGGGCGUAAAGCGCACGCAGGCGGUCUGUCAAGUCGGAUGUGAAAUCCCCGGGCUCAACCUGGGAACUGCAUUCGAAACUGGCAGGCUAGAGUCUUGUAGAGGGGGGUAGAAUUCCAGGUGUAGCGGUGAAAUGCGUAGAGAUCUGGAGGAAUACCGGUGGCGAAGGCGGCCCCCUGGACAAAGACUGACGCUCAGGUGCGAAAGCGUGGGGAGCAAACAGGAUUAGAUACCCUGGUAGUCCACGCCGUAAACGAUGUCGAUUUGGAGGUUGUGCCCUUGAGGCGUGGCUUCCGGAGCUAACGCGUUAAAUCGACCGCCUGGGGAGUACGGCCGCAAGGUUAAAACUCAAAUGAAUUGACGGGGGCCCGCACAAGCGGUGGAGCAUGUGGUUUAAUUCGAUGCAACGCGAAGAACCUUACCUGGUCUUGACAUCCACAGAACUUAGCAGAGAUGCUUUGGUGCCUUCGGGAACUGUGAGACAGGUGCUGCAUGGCUGUCGUCAGCUCGUGUUGUGAAAUGUUGGGUUAAGUCCCGCAACGAGCGCAACCCUUAUCCUUUGUUGCCAGCGGUCCGGCCGGGAACUCAAAGGAGACUGCCAGUGAUAAACUGGAGGAAGGUGGGGAUGACGUCAAGUCAUCAUGGCCCUUACGACCAGGGCUACACACGUGCUACAAUGGCAUAUACAAAGAGAAGCGACCUCGCGAGAGCAAGCGGACCUCAUAAAGUAUGUCGUAGUCCGGAUUGGAGUCUGCAACUCGACUCCAUGAAGUCGGAAUCGCUAGUAAUCGUAGAUCAGAAUGCUACGGUGAAUACGUUCCCGGGCCUUGUACACACCGCCCGUCACACCAUGGGAGUGGGUUGCAAAAGAAGUAGGUAGCUUAACCUUCGGGAGGGCGCUUACCACUUUGUGAUUCAUGACUGGGGUGAAGUCGUAACAAGGUAACCGUAGGGGAACCUGCGGUUGGAUCACCUCCUUA